CAGUAGCCGCGGGAAUACGUAGGUGGCAAGCGUUGUCCGGAAUUAUUGGGCGUAAAGCGCGCGCAGGCGGAUCAGUCAGUCUGUCUUAAAAGUUCGGGGCUUAACCCCGUGAUGGGAUGGAAACUGCUGAUCUAGAGUAUCGGAGAGGAAAGUGGAAUUCCUAGUGUAGCGGUGAAAUGCGUAGAUAUUAGGAAGAACACCAGUGGCGAAGGCGACUUUCUGGACGAAAACUGACGCUGAGGCGCGAAAGCCAGGGGAGCGAACGGGAUUAGAUACCCCGGUAGUCCCUGUCUCUUAUACA
rnacentral:rRNA from 1 species